CCUACGGGGGGCUGCAGUCGAGAAUCUUCGGCAAUGGGCGCAAGCCUGACCGAGCGACGCCGCGUGCGGGAUGAAGGCCUUCGGGUUGUAAACCGCUGUCGAAGGGGAGGAAAUUAUAGUGGGUUCACCCAUUAUAUUGACCGAUCCUUGGAGGAAGGGCCGGCUAAUCUCGUGCCAGCAGCCGCGGUAAUACGAGAGGCCCAAACGUUAUUCGGAUUUACUGGGCUUAAAGAGUUCGUAGGCGGUUCGGUAAGUGGGGUGUGAAAGCCCUCGGCUCAACCGAGGAAUUGCGCUCCAAACUGCCGGGCUCGAGGGAGAUAGAGGUGAGCGGAACUGAUGGUGGAGCGGUGAAAUGCGUUGAUAUCAUCAGGAACACCAGAGGCGAAGGCGGCUCACUGGGUCUCUUCUGACGCUGAGGAACGAAAGCUAGGGGAGCAAACGGGAUUAGAUACCCUAGUAGUC
rnacentral:rRNA from 1 species